rnacentral:rRNA from 1 species
AAUAUUGGACAAUGGGGGCAACCCUGAUCCAGCCAUGCCGCGUGUGUUAAGAAGGUCUUCGGAUUGUAAAGCAUUUUAAGUUGGGAGGAAGGGCUUUAGGCUAAUACCCGGAAGUUUUGACGUUACCAACAGAAUAAGCACCGACUAACUCUGGGCCAGCAGCCGCGGUAAUACAUAGGGUGCAAGCGUUAAUCGGAAUUCCUGGGCGUAAAGCGCGCGUAGGUGGUUCAGUAAGAUGGGUGUGAAAUCCCCGGGCUUAACCUGGGAACUGCUUUCAUAACUGCUGAGCUAGAGUACGGUAGAGGGUAGUGGAAUUUCCUGUGUAGCGGUGAAAUGCGUAGAUAUAGGAAAGAACACCAGUUGCGAAGGCGACUACCUGGACUGAUACUGACACUGAGGUGCGAAAGCGUGGGGAGCAAAC